AACUAGGACUAGCCUAGUUGGCUAGAACCCUUGCAUCUCACUAGGAGGUCAAGGGUACUAGAUGGUUUAACAUAAAUAAAUCUAGUUCUGAAUCUCAUCAAAGCUCCUCAGAACCCUUGUUAUUUUUUGUGCACAUAUUAAUAUUGUGAUGGCAUAUAUAUAUAUAUAUAUAUAUUUCGAUUAAACCUAAAAACAUGACUUUGUUAAGCAACUACUGCUGUGGGGCAUGUGAAGGUUGAUGACCAGUUCUUUAGCAUUCCAAGGCUGUUACUUGUUCUUCUCUUUGACUUAUGCAAUCCUUUUUAAAACAUGUUUGUGUCGGCAUUACAAUCAGAGUGUGACACGUUUCGUAAAGUUCCAUUUUGCAUUAGAAAAAUUGGAGACAUAACUAUGCAAUUUAUUUUUCACAUGUUUCUUUUGUUAUUGUCUAGUAAUUGAUACUUAUUUUGUUCCUAUCAUGAAGCGAUGAGUGAAGCAGAAGGAUGCCCCUCUUAAGGCAAAAUCUCCCCAGGGAAAAUGAAUUCUUGGAGGUUGCGUAGAGAUGCUGUUGAUAAUUUUUUUUUUGUUCCCCAAAAAUUAUUGGUUCACUCAGUAUAAUUAAUUGGGGGGAAGAUCUCUAUUGUGCCAAACUCAUUUAACAUAUGGCUUUACAUUGUGUAUAUGCUUCCGUACCACAGUUCAUCACUUAACUCCCAAGAAGAUGAUGGUAUGGUAUCAAAGAUCAGAUCGACUUCAUGAAAUCCAGCAAUAACACGGUUUGCAGCUAUCAGAUGGGUGCAAUUCAUAAUUUUUACUUUUAUUUUUGUUUUAUUUUAUUUCUACCUACCUAACAUGUUUGACAUUAAUAAUGUGAACAUAAUAUAUAUACAUAUAUAUAUAUAUAUAAUAUGGAUAUGAUAGACAAUUAAUUAAUCAAUCUUUUUGUAGGGACAUUGGACUGUUGAAUUUCUCUUACUAUGUGAUUUGCAUGGGAGUUAGGCUUCGUUUCGAAAUAGACUAUUUUAGUAAUUUUUUAGUUUUUUAGUUAAAAUAUAAGAUAAAUUUUUUUUAUAUAUUUCGAAUGAUUUUUUAGUUUUUUAU